rnacentral:rRNA from 1 species
GAUGAACGCUGGCGGCGUGCCUAAUACAUGCAAGUCGAGCGAACAGACGAGGAGCUUGCUCCUCUGACGUUAGCGGCGGACGGGUGAGUAACACGUGGAUAACCUACCUAUAAGACUGGGAUAACUUCGGGAAACCGGAGCUAAUACCGUAUAAUAUAUUGAACCGCAUGGUUCAAUAGUGAAAGACGGUUUUGCUGUCACUUAUAGAUGGAUCCGCGCCGCAUUAGCUAGUUGGUAAGGUAACGGCUUACAAAGGCAACGAUGCGUAGCCGACCUGAGAGGGUGAUCGGCCACACUGGAACUGAGACACGGUCCAGACUCCUACGGGAGGCAGCAGUAGGGAAUCUUCCGCAAUGGGCGAAAGCCUGACGGAGCAACGCCGCGUGAGUGAUGAAGGUCUUCGGAUCGUAAAACUCUGUUAUUAGGGAAGAACAAAUGUGUAAGUAACUAUGCACGUCUUGACGGUACCUAAUCAGAAAGCCACGGCUAACUACGUG